rnacentral:rRNA from 1 species
AUUGAACGCAGGCGGCAGGCUUAACACAUGCAAGUCGAGCGGGGUGAUGGUGCUUGCACUAUCACUUAGCGGCGGACGGGUGAGUAAUGCUUAGGAAUCUGCCUAUUAGUGGGGGACAACAUCUCGAAAGGGAUGCUAAUACCGCAUACGUCCUACGGGAGAAAGCAGGGGAUCACUUGUGACCUUGCGCUAAUAGAUGAGCCUAAGUCGGAUUAGCUAGUUGGUGGGGUAAAGGCCUACCAAGGCGACGAUCGGUAGCGGGUCUGUGAGGAUGAUCCGCCACACUGGGACUGAGACACGGCGCCGACUCCUACGGGAGGCAGCAGUGGGGAAGAUUGGACAAGGGGGGGAACCCUGAUCCAGACAUGCCGCGUGUGUGAAGAAGGCCUUAUGGUUGUAAAGCACUUUAAGCGAGGAGGAGGCUCUUUUGGUUAAUACCCAAGAUGAGUGGACGUUACUCGCAGAAUAAGCACCGGCUAACUCUGUGCCAGCAGCCGCAGUAA